ACUUAUGGCCAUACCAGUAUGAAAGUGCCAGAUCUCAGAAUUCAUUCGGACUCGGGCCUGUUUAGUACUUGUAUGGGAGACAAACUAGGAACAUCAGGUGCCGUAAGCU